rnacentral:lncRNA from 1 species
GCGGUUGGACUCAAACGCGGAGGCCCGAGACAGACGCCGGUUGAACCGGUCUGGAGACAGCACUUGGGCGAAGCGGCCCGGCCAGAUUCAUCUGAAAACUACAUUAAGACCAAGACUUUUGAGGGCUUCUGUGCAUUACAUCUUGCUGUGAGUCAAGGACAUUGGAAAGUCACACAGAUUCUUUUGGAAGCUGGAGCAGAUCCUAAUACAACCACUUUAGAAGAAACCACACCAUUGUUUUUAGCUGUUGAAAGUGGACAAAUAGAUGUUUUGAAGCUCUUGCUUCAACAUGGAGCAAAUGUCAAUGGAUCCCAUUCUAUGUGUGGAUGGAAUUCCUUGCACCAGGCUUCUUUCCAGGGAAAUGCUGAGGCUAUAAAACUGCUUCUUAAACAAGGAGCAGACAGAGAAUGCCAAGAUGACUUUGGAAUCACACCUCUGUUUGUGGCUGCUCAGUAUGGGAAGCUAGAGAGCUUGAGCAUACUUAUUUCAUCUGGUGCAAAUGUCAAUUGCCAAGCCUUGGAUAAAGCUACUCCCUUGUUUAUUGCUGCACAAGAGGGUCAUACAAAAUGUGUGGAACUUUUGCUGUCCAAUGGGGCUGAUCCUGAUCUUUAUUGUAAUGAAGACAAUUGGCAAUUACCUAUUCAUGCUGCUGCACAAAUGGGUCAUAGAAAGACCUUGGACUUGUUAAUACCACUUACUAACCGGGCUUGUGACUCUGGACCAGACAAAGUGAGCCCUGUUUACUCUGCAGUGU